AGCUCCAAUAGCGUAUAUUAAAGUUGUUGCGGUUAAAAAGCUCGUAGUUGAAUUUCUGGUGGGAGGAUGUGGUGCAACGUAGUUGCUACUGGCAGCCUCCGGCCAUCCUUGGGUUUAGCCAUUCUGGCAUUAAGUUGUCGGGGUGGGGAUGCCCAUCGUUUACUGUGAAAAAAUUAGAGUGUUCAAAGCAGACUUAUGUCGUUGAAUAUAUUAGCAUGGAAUAAUAAGAUAGGACUACAGUGCUAUUUUGUUGGUUUGCGCACCGUGGUAAUGAUGAAUAGGGACAGUUGUGGGUAUUCGUAUUCACUUGUAAGAGGUGAAAUUCUUAGAUUAAGGGAAGACGAACAAAAGCGAAAGCAUUUACCAAGGAUGUUUUCA
rnacentral:rRNA from 1 species